AGAACGAACGCUGGCGGCAUGCCUAACACAUGCAAGUCGAACGAGACCUUCGGGUCUAGUGGCGCACGGGUGCGUAACGCGUGGGAAUCUGCCCUUAGGUUCGGAAUAACAGUUAGAAAUGACUGCUAAUACCGGAUAAUGUCUUCGGACCAAAGAUUUAUUGCCUAAGGAUGAGCCCGCGUAAGAUUAGCUUGUUGGUGAGGUAAAGGCUCACCAAGGCGACGAUCUUUAGCUGGUCUGAGAGGAUGAUCGGCCACACUGGGACUGAGACACGGCCCAGACUCCUACGGGAGGCAGCAGUGGGGAAUAUUGGACAAUGGGCGAAAGCCUGAUCCAGCAAUGCCGCGUGAGUGAUGAAGGCUUAGGUUGUAAAGCUCUUUACCCGGGAAGAUAAUGACAGUACCGGAGAAUAAGCCCCGGCUAACUCCGCGCCAGCAGCCGC
rnacentral:rRNA from 1 species